CCCAGGAGAGUUUUGCGGAUAUGAACCAGAUGAAUGUCGGUUCAGGUUUUCCAAAUGAAACCCCACAGCACACAGCUUGGUCUACGUGAAAAUGUAGGACCAGACAUCUUACAAGCAGGAUGCUGAGGUGAUGAUGCCAGAGCCAGUGUUGAGUACACUUGUGGUCUAUCCAUCAUCAGGCUACUGCAUGUGUUCACAGAGGUUCUACUGAUGCCCUCUCUGACCGUGGAGCCUUCAGGACGACCAACAGCGCCACUGGCCACCCCACCACAGCUGUUAUUGUUUUGUUGCUGAGCUGAGGAGCGUCGCGCAGCAUGGUUAAAAAAAGAUCUGUAACCAUGAUUGACAGAGGAAGAACAAUGAUUCCAAGCACCACCCUCCUUUUGAAGCUUCCAGUCUGUUAUUCGAACUCAAUCAGCAUGACAGAGGGAUCUCCAGCCUUGUCCUCGUCAACACUCACACCUGUGUUAAUGAGAGAAUCACUGACAUGAUGUCAGCUGGUCCUUUUGUGGCAGGGCUGAAAUGCAGUGGAAAUGUUUUUGGAGGAUUCAGUUAAUUUGCAUGGCAAAGAGGGACUUUGCAAUUAAUUGCAAUUCAUCUGAUCACUCGUCAUAACAUUCUGGAGUAUAUGCAAAUUGCCUUCAUACAAACUGAGGCAGCAGAUAUUUGUGUCAUUCUCAAAUCUUUUGGCCACAACUGUACAACCAAAUACUUUAUAUUUCUUUAUAAAAUAAUUUACUAAUUCAAUGAAUCAGGGAUCAAAUUGAUUUAUUAGGCUAAUUCAAAGAAAGGUAACUAAGACGUGUUUAUCUAUAACCUUGUAAGGCUAAAAUAUUCUGGUUUCAGUGAUCUAUUGACAGCAUGGGAGAUAUUUGUCAACUAGGCUAUUCCAAGAAUAUAUUUUACAGUUGUCAGAAUGACAUAGCCAAUGUUGAACAGAGGGGAAUUCCAGCUUUCCACACAGAUUUAUUUUUCAGCUCCCAAUAUUCAGCGCUGUAGAGACGGUUGGUCUCUACAGGAGUAUGUGGCAUUGGUUUAUUAAAGAUGGAAUCUGCAGUAGGGGGAAACUGCUCCAAUGGCCGCCCUUCCACCGUUCGUAUAAUCUUUGUUGAUGAGCUGAGGAGUAUCACACAGCAUGUUAAACAUCUUGUACGGAUUCCAACUUUAAGGCAACUGCUUGUUGGUUAUUUGCAGUUUGAGUACCGGUGACAUUAAUACAUGAUCAUGUUAAAUUGAUAACUGCCGAGAUAACUAGCCAGGCUUCACGAUAUGUAGUUAGUUGUUAUGUAGUCUGUUGUCCAUCAUUAUUUUAUAGGCUAGGCCUACCUGCUGCAAUGUCUCUCUCUCUCUACUCUGGCCGACUCACACUGGCACACAUGCAGGUGAUGCGCACAGCCGCACAUCAUAACUUUUCCAGGAUUUUCAUGACUGUACAAACCCUGUUUGCUGACCAAAAUGUGCUUUAACUGUGUAAAUAACUCACUAAUUAGCACCGAAUAUCAACACUUGCACACACUGCUACACACAGCUCUUUGCUUUGAUCUGGUCCUUCUGUAGCUCAGUUGGUAGAGCAUGGCGCUUGUAACGCCAGGGUAGUGGGUUCGAUUCCCGGGACCACCCAUACGUAGAAUGUAUGCACACAUGACUGUAAGUCGCUUUGGAUAAAAGCGUCUGCUAAAUGGCAUAUAUUAUUAUUAUUAUUAUAUUUAUCUCAAAAGCUCACAACCCGGGAUGAUUGAAAGACUGCUCCUACCUGUCAUUUCAAUACAAUCCUACUGCAGUCUGCAGAAAUGGGGAGAACAGCAAUACAUCGCAUUCAGGGGGGACAAUGAUCCAACUCGGAUCCAAUUGUCAUUGUUUGAUAUUGCAAUGUUUUGUGUGUGAUUGUUUUACUUGUCCAUUCGGACAACUCAAAUCUAUAUUCUUCUUGUUCAACUUUUUUUUUUACAAGAGUUAAUGUCAAGCCCUGUAGAAGGAUGGAGAGACAUGCCAUAUUUACAGUCUUUACUAGUAAGAGCCCAUGUGCGAACUGCAGAGCCUAUGUAGGUUUAUGUAACCUCCAGCCUUCAAGGCACGCAAGCCUGGGUCUCGCCUGAUGUUGGCGGCUGACACAGAAGUGUGAAGACAGGGGACGUGGCGGGGAGGAGGGUUCCUCAUGGUGGGGGUGCCAUACGGUGAACAAAGAGACUGUCUGUUCCCUGGUUUGAGUGUUUGCUGUCAAACCAGCAAUUACGAGUAGGGGAGUUUUGAACAGGUUUUCGAUUGCAUUCGCUAAAAUAAACCCUACCCUAAUACUUUGAUAAAUGUUGU